UGGCUCUGUGAAGUGAAGUUAGUUGGCGGAAAUGUUUAAAGUUGAGGUUAUUAUGUCUAAUAAAAGGGGUGUGAUAGAAAUGAAGUGAGUUAGGGUUCGUUCAAGUUGUUCACUUUUUUGAGCACAAUGGUUAUGGGAUAAAAAUGGCUUCUUCUCAAGGAUGUUCGUCUUGUUCCAAAAUAGGGUGGGAAAGAAAUUCACAAUCUGCAAAUGAUGGUGGUUGGAGGGGAGGUAGGAUAAUCCCUCGUUGCAAUUGUGGUGAUUAUGUUAUGAGCAAAAUGGCGAGAAAAGAGAUGAGGAAAUUGUCAGACAAAGGAGGAGGAUUUGUGAUUUGGAAAUUUUAGUCCAAAAGUUGCAGAAAAGGAUAAACAACAAAAUCAAAUUAAACCCUAACCCCCAAAUUUAUACCUCCAAAUUCAACAGAAAAUAUUUAAACAACAAAUCUAUACCUCCAAAAUCAUCGUCAAUCGAACAAAAUAUGUAUAUUUAACACAAAAUCAAAUUAAACCCUAACCCCCAAAUUUAUACCCCCAAAUUCAACAGAAAAUAUUUAAAGAACAAAUUUAUACUCCUAAAAUCAUCGUCAAUCGAACAAAAUACGUAUAUUUAACACAAAAUCAAAUUAAACCCUAAUCCCCAAAUUUGUACCCCCCAAUUCAACAAAAAAUAUUUAAACAACAAAUUUAUACCCCCAAAAUUAUCGUCAUUCGAACAAAAUACGUAUAUUUAACACAAAAUCAAAUUAAACCCUAACCCGUAAAUAAAACAACAAGAACAUUAACUAAUUAGGCUUAGAUUAGGACCACUUACCUCACAUACGUA
rnacentral:lncRNA from 1 species